UACGGAGGGUGCAAGCGUUAUCCGGAUUCACUGGGUUUAAAGGGUGCGUAGGCGGGUAAGUAAGUCCGUGGUGAAAUCUCUGAGCUUAACUCAGAAACUGCCGUGGAUACUAUUUGCCUUGAAUAUUGUGGAGGUGAGCGGAAUAUGUCAUGUAGCGGUGAGAUGCUUAGAUAUGACAUAGAACACCAAUUGCGAAGGCAGCUCACUACACAAUCAUUGACGCUGAGGCACGAAAGCGUGGGGAUCAAACAGG
rnacentral:rRNA from 1 species